rnacentral:rRNA from 1 species
CAAACUCCGAAUGCCAAUUAAUUUAACUUGGGAGUCAGAACAUGGGUGAUAAGGUCCGUGUUCGAAAGGGAAACAGCCCAGACCACCAGCUAAGGUCCCAAAAUAUAUGUUAAGUGGAAAAGGAUGUGGCGUUGCCCAGACAACUAGGAUGUUGGCUUAGAAGCAGCCAUCAUUUAAAGAGUGCGUAAUAGCUCACUAGUCGAGUGACACUGCGCCGAAAAUGUACCGGGGCUAAACAUAUUACCGAAGCUGUGGAUUGUCCUUUGGACAAUGGUAGGAGAGCGUUCUAAGGGCGUUGAAGCAUGAUCGUAAGGACAUGUGGAGCGCUUAGAAGUGAGAAUGCCGGUGUGAGUAGCGAAAGACGGGUGAGAAUCCCGUCCACCGAUUGACUAAGGUUUCCAGAGGAAGGCUCGUCCGCUCUGGGUUAGUCGGGUCCUAAGCUGAGGCCGACAGGCGUAGGCGAUGGAUAACAGGUUGAUAUUCCUGUACCACCUAUAAUCGUUUUAAUCGAUGGGGGGACGCAGUAGGAUAGGCGAAGCGUGCGAUUGGAUUGCACGUCUAAGCAGUAAGGCUGAG